GUCUGAGUGGCUCAGUUGGUUGAGCAUCUGACUUCAACUCAGGUCAUGAUCUCGUGGUUCCUGAGUUCGAGCCCCAUAUCGGGCU
rnacentral:tRNA from 1 species